UGGUUCAGAUUUUGAAGCAGUUGGAAAAUACUUUUUGGUAAUUUCUGUACCAAUCAUCUCUCCUUCCUCCUCCUCAGACUCUUUUCUAAUGGGCUCAUCUGAUGGGCUCAUCUGAUGGAACAACCAAGUAUCUAAUCACCUUUCAUAACAGCUUCACAUAUGAUUCAGUUGGGAGAAGAUUCUCUUGCUUUGCUUCAUUCUGCGAUUCACACUGAGAUUGAGAGUUCACCUUCCUCCUAUGAAGAUGAUCCUGACUUUCCUCUUGACUUCUUUUUUCCUCUUUUGGACUUAGAUUGAACAGAUUUCCUAUCCUUCUUUCUUUGGUGAUACCCUAGAUGAGGAUGAAAAUGAAUUAAAUGAUGAUGAAGAUGAAGAAGAACCACCAAACACAUACACAACUCUGUUCCUUUUGUCGUACUUUUUCUUUCCAUGUAUGAAAACCUUGGGAGCAGAGCCUUUAGCUCUGGCGCCCUCCGGUGAUGAGUCAGAGGAAAAGCUAUCCCUAGAAGAACAGGCCUAUUUUUCUCCUAAGUUUCUAAGGCAGGGAUACAGAGCAGGAGGAAGGCAGCCUUGGUCUCCUGUUUGGAUUCUUCUCCUCCAUCCUCUUAGCCUUUAUCUGAGCAGUCAGGGGAUGUGCGGGAGGCACUGUGAUAAUUCCAGGAAGGAGACAAACUACCUCUUCAGACCCUGUUGAUUUCUGGAGCUGUGUCUCCGCAGCCAAGACUGACUGCAGUGAGCAGAAGGUUUCCUCAACUGUCGCAUGGUUAGUAACUCUACUUCUGAGGGCAUUCUGCACCAAAAAAAUUCUGUGCCAAAAAAAAUAUUAAAAUUCUGCACACA